rnacentral:rRNA from 1 species
UGGGGAAUAUUGGACAAUGGGCGGAAGCCUGAUCCAGCAACGCCGCGUGAGGGAUGACGGCCUUCGGGUUGUAAACCUCUUUCAGUACCGACGAAGCGCAAGUGACGGUAGGUACAGAAGAAGCACCGGCCAACUACGUGCCAGCAGCCGCGGUAAUACGUAGGGUGCGAGCGUUGUCCGGAAUUAUUGGGCGUAAAGGGCUCGUAGGCGGUUUGUCGCGUCGGGAGUGAAAACCCAGGGCUUAACCCUGGGCUGGCUUUCGAUACGGGCAGACUAGAGGUAUGCAGGGGAGAACGGAAUUCCUGGUGUAGCGGUGAAAUGCGCAGAUAUCAGGAGGAACACCGGUGGCGAAGGCGGUUCUCUGGGCAUUACCUGACGCUGAGGAGCGAAAGUGUGGGGAGCGAACAGGAUUAGAUACCCUGGUAGUCCACACCGUAAACGUUGGGCGCUAGGUGUGGGAUCCAUUCCACGGGUUCCGUGCCGCAGCUAACGCAUUAAGCGCCCCGCCUGGGGAGUACGGCCGCAAGGCUAA